UCGGCUCCGUCCGUGGACCCACGAGUGGGUUUCAGCAUCUUCGGGCUGCUUUUGGGCCGUUUUCCGGCCCCGGAUCCGCGAGUCGCUUUGGGAAGUUUUGUUCCUCGCGUCGCCGCCGUCGGAUUGAUCCGAUUUGCGCGCGAUUUGGACCCCGGUGAGAAGCUGAAGAGGAGGAGUCUAAGAAGGAGAACUCGGAGGUGAAACUUAAGGAGAAAGAUUUUUGGGAGAAGAUGAUAAUCCCGAGAAGGGCCUUGAGUACGGCCCGGAUGGCUAAGAGUUUCUGUCUCCUUUUGAGAUCUCCGUUUUGAUGUGAAUAGUUAUGAAGAGGUUUGUGGUUUGUAUAAAAGUGUGGUUAUAAAUUUCAAUAUGAAAAAUAUGGCCCUGCUUUUCUA